GCCUGGCGGAGAGAACUCCACUGCGCUUCAUUUGCCCGACUGGAGGUUGGAACAGCGAUAUUCGCUCGCGGUGCUGUACCACUCAACGGGAGGGUACGAGGGAGGUUGGCUGAAUGAUGAAGGAUUUUUGGACGAGGCUUUA
rnacentral:SRP_RNA from 1 species